rnacentral:rRNA from 1 species
UACGUAGGGUGCGAGCGUUAAUCGGAAUUACUGGGCGUAAAGCGUGCGUAGGCGGUUGGCAAAGUCAGCUGUGAAAGCCCCGGGCUUAACCUGGGAAUGGCGGUUGGGACUGGGUGGCUGGAGUUCGGGAGAGGAGCGUGGAAUUCCCAGUGUAGAGGUGAAAUUCGUAGAUAUUGGGAAGAACACCGGUGGCGAAGGCGGCAUCCUGGACCAAUACUGACACUGAGGAGCGAAAGCCAGGGGAGCAAACGGG